GGCGUGCCUAAUACAUGCACUUUGAACGCACUCUCGUUUAGAUUGAAGGAGCUUGCUCCUGAUUGAUAAACAUUUGAGUGAGUGGCGGACGGGUGAGUAACACGUGGGUAACCUGCCCUAAAGUGGGGGAUAACAUUUGGAAACAGAUGCUAAUACCGCAUAAAACCUAACACCGCAUGGUGUAGGGUUGAAAGAUGGUUUCGGCUAUCACUUUAGGAUGGACCCGCGGUGCAUUAGUUAGUUGGUGAGGUAAAGGCUCACCAAGACCGUGAUGCAUAGCCGACCUGAGAGGGUAAUCGGCCACACUGGGACUGAGACACGGCCCAGACUCCUACGGGAGGCAGCAGUAGGGAAUCUUCCACAAUGGACGAAAGUCUGAUGGAGCAACGCCGCGUGAGUGAAGAAGGUUUUCGGAUCGUAAAACUCUGUUGUUGGAGAAGAAUGUAUCUGAUAGUAACUGAUCAGGUAGUGACGGUAUCCAACCAUAAAGCCACGGCUAAACUACUCUGCCAGCAGGCCGCGGUAAUCGUUAGGUUGGCAAGCGUUGUCCGGAUUUAUUGGGGGGAAAGCGAGCGCGGGCGUUUUUUAAAUUCUGAUGUGAAAGCCUUCGCCUCAACCGAAGAAGUGCAUCGGAAACUGGGAAACUUGAGUGCAGAAGAGGACAGUGGAACUCCAUGUGUAGCGGUGAAAUGCGUAGAUAUAUGGAAGAACACCAGUGGCGAAGGCGGCUGUCUGGUCUGUAACUGACGCUGAGGCUCGAAAGCAUGGGUAGCAAACAGGAUUAGAUACCCUGGUAGUCCAUGCCGUAAACGAUGAGUGCUAGGUGUUGGAGGGUUUCCGCCCUUCAGUGCCGCAGCUAACGCAUUAAGCACUCCGCCUGGGGAGUACGACCGCAAGGUUGAAACUCAAAGGAAUUGACGGGGGCCCGCACAAGCGGUGGAGCAUGUGGUUUAAUUCGAAGCAACGCGAAGAACCUUACCAGGUCUUGACAUCCUUUGACCACUCUAGAGAUAGAGCUUUCCCUUCGGGGACAAAGUGACAGGUGGUGCAUGGUUGUCGUCAGCUCGUGUCGUGAGAUGUUGGGUUAAGUCCCGCAACGAGCGCAACCCUUAUUACUAGUUGCCAGCAUUAAGUUGGGCACUCUAGUGAGACUGCCGGUGACAAACCGGAGGAAGGUGGGGACGAUGUCAAAUCAUCAUGCCCCUUAUGACCUGGGCUACACACGUGCUACAAUGGAUGGUACAACGAGUUGCGAGACCGCGAGGUUUAGCUAAUCUCUUAAAACCAUUCUCAGUUCGGAUUGUAGGCUGCAACUCGCCUACAUGAAGCCGGAAUAGGUAGUAAUCGCGGAUCAGCAUGCCGCGGUGA
rnacentral:rRNA from 1 species